GGGGAGACUUUAACUAAUAAACUGUACUAAUUGGCCUGAGCAAAAAUUGUACAAAAAAAUUAGUAGAUAUAUAUAUGAGUCUAGUUUAAGGAAAAAUUUACGGAAUUUUAUUUCGAGUUUUGGAACUCGAGAUAUGAAUUUUUAAGCAACUAUGACGCAGUUGGACAGCUUGUCCAAAUUUGUUUAAGUGCUCAAAUAAGUUUAGUAAUGCCUCGUGCUCGACUCCGGCGAUGGUCUCGGGUAAGGGGGCGUUACAAUGACAUUCAAGGUAAGUCCUUAAAUAAUUAAAUUUGAUUUGCUGCGCGCUUAAGAUUAUAUAAUAUGAUAAGAAAUUAUUUGACCUUUACAAGUUCGAUUUGCAAUAAGUAUAUUGAAUUUCGGCUAUAAAGCCGAAUAUGAAAUGGAUGAUUUAUGUAUAUAAUGUGGCCGAAUGACUAUUAAGUAAUGAUGUGAAAGUGUGUAAUAUGUGUGUACAAUUUUACUGUACUUGUUUGUAUAAAGUCGAAUGUGAAUUGAAUGGUAUAUAUGUGGUGACCGAAUAGCUAUUAUGAAAUAAAGUCAAAGAAUGGGAUAUUUGUAUAAUUGAUGAAUUGUGACUAUUGUUCCUACUUGAUCGAGGUUGUGUGUGAAAUAAUUUGUGAAUAUGGCAUAUAGCCGAAUGGUUAUUAAAAGUGAAACUGGGAUAGUGAAAAGAUUAUGUGUUCUUUAUGUAUGAUUAUUGAACCAAAAGUUAAAGGGUAGGUGUACAUUUUGUGCUUAUAUUCGAAUGAAGCAAUUGAAUUACUAAUGAUAUGUUAUGUGAAAUGUGUUAACAUGUGAAAAAAAAUGCAAGAUACUGGAAAUAUAUCCGGGCUAAAGUCUCGCAGGCUUCGUGCUGGAAAUGUAUCCGGGCUAAAGUCCCGUAGGCUUCGUGUUGGAAAUGUAUCCGGGCUAAAGUCCCGUAGGGUUCGUGCAGGAAAUGUAUCCGGGCUAAAGUCCCGCAAGCUUUGUGCUGGUAAUAUAAUUUCGGGUUUUAUACCUAGCAGGCCAAGUGCUGAUGAAUUUGAUAAAAGUAUACAAUUACAAGAUCCUACACAAAGAUGACAAAUUGAAAGUGUAUUACAUAUUAAGUUGGCCAGGUAUGUAUCAUGUACUCGUAUGCGAUUUUGAUUUGAAUUAAAUUAUAAAUGUAUAAAGUGAUGCAUCUGUGAAUAAGUGUUAUGACUAUAAAUGUGAUCGUGAUACAUUCAGUAAACGUGUGAAGUUAUGUGAAGUGAUUCUAUGUUUAUAUUCAAAUAUAAACACUUGGUCUUUGUAGAAAGGUUUGUGGAAGUAUAUGAUUUUAUUUUUAGGUGAUUAUGAUCAUGGAAAAUUAAAUGUGAAUAUGAUAUUGUAUUUUAUUCGUUUCAAUUGAACUAAAGUUGAUAGUGAAGCAUUUUAAUGCCUGUGUUAUAUGAGUUCGAUCUUGAAUGACAUGAUAUACAUGUUUAAAUAAUUUGAAUGCAAGGAAUGUGUGAAAGAGCAAAUUUGUAAUAAAUCUGCUUGGGACAGCAACAGUAGCAUGAUUUUGGAAAAUCACCAUAAAUUGUGGAAAUUGAAUUAGAAGCUGAAUAAAUUAUGUAAUUAAAGCUUAAUGAGUAUAGUUUCUUAUAAAAGAAACCGUGUAAGUAAAAGAAUUGUAGAUAAUGAGAUAUUUGAAGUGGCGUGACAUAGAGUCAAAAUGACUUCGAAAUCCCCUAUUCUGUAUUUAGAAAAUCAUUGUAAAUUGUACAAUGAUGAUUAUAAGAUAAAAUUUAUGUUCUUAGACUCCUUAAUAAGUCUAGUUUCAAAUGAAAUAAACUAGAACAUAUUUUGAAUUCUGUACAAUGAGAAAUCUGAUUUAUAGUGAAGAAUGGUCAGAAUAGCCAAACAGUGAAAUAGGGGAAAAUUUAAGAAAAAUCUGGUAUUGAUUGGUCAAACAAAAAAUUCUUAAAAUUUUAGAGAUAUAAGAUAUAUGGGUCUAUUUUCAUGGAAAAUUAACAUAACAUGAUUUGGAGUUUUGUAGGUCCAGUUAUAAAUAAUUUAGUGACUGCUGCUCAGCAAGACAGCUUGUAGUGAUUAUGUGAUUAUGUUGUGAACAUUGAAUAAACUUGGUCAGAUGUAUGUAGUCCAUGUGAAAAUGAGACGUGAUAAAUAGCAGAUAAAUAUAUGCUAUAUGUGCUUGACAUGUGACCUUGUGGUUCCAUGAAUCAAACAUGGAAAAAUAUGACAUGUUUUGGUUGGUAUGUAUUGGAUAUGUGCAAGUUUUGUUCAUACGAAUAAAUUGACAGUUAUCAUACGAAUUUAAAAUCAUAGUCAUAAGUUAUUUGUAAAUAUAAAUAAGUGAAGCUAUUUAAUAAGGUUAUAUGAACUUAAGAGUACUAUGAAUGUAUAUACAAUUGAGAUUAUUUUUCAAUUCGGAUUAGUGAUAUGGAAUUUUCAUAAUCAUUGAAAGGAUUUAUUUGCUUAAGGCUUACUAAGCUUUCAAAGCUUAUUCUGUGUGUUUUUCCUAUGUCUAUAGGGCUUCAGUGAAAUUGCUUGGGUUGGAAGUCGAGGAGAUUUCAUCACACUAUCAAGUUAUCAUGUGAGUAGAUAAAGUUUGUAUAUCAUUAAGGUUUAAGGCAUGUAUAGAAUAGACUAAUAGUGGAAGGAUAUUUUGGUUAACGUAUUUAAGCCAUGCG
rnacentral:lncRNA from 1 species